rnacentral:lncRNA from 1 species
AACACUGAGGCACAGAGAUUAUACCAGCUGGGCUAGCGAGUGACCGGGGGAAGCCUCCAGAUCCAUGCACACAACCGCCAGGUUUAUGACACCUCUAGAAAUGUGGCCAGUGCCCCUGGGGUCUAUCAGCAUCUCUUGCUAGACCAGCAGAGCCCUAAAAAAGAAGACAACAGUCUCCCAGCAAAAUGUUGCAAGCAGCACAGGCUCAGGAAUGGACAGACUGGCAGGCAAGACACAGCAAGAAGGCAGCAGUCUGCACACCAGGAGGAGAGUCCUCACCACAACUCAGCCCUGCCACACCCUGAUCCUGGACUUUCAGCCUCCAGAGCUGUGAGAAAUAAAUGCCUGCUGUUUCAGCA